ensembl:snRNA U6 U6 spliceosomal RNA
AUGCUCGCUUCGGCAGCACAUAUACUAAAAUUGGAACAAUACGGAAAUUAGCAUGGCUCCUGCACAAGGAUGACACACAAAUUUGUGAAGCAUUCCAUAUUUUU